rnacentral:lncRNA from 1 species
AUGGGAAUGGAAGAUUAGUAUGCCGCCCUUCACUGGCCGUGGGGAGAGAUGCAUUUUUGUAUUCAGAAUAUAACCUUGCAAAUGAGAUCAAACAUUUGAAGAGCUAUGGGAAAGGCAAUAAACCAAAGUGGGAUUCUUCGUCACUUGUCCAGCAUGAAUUAUUACUUGCUGGUUAAGCAGAACCUAUGGGAAGAUCAAGAAAUGUCACUUCUGAGAAAAAAAAAAUGUCUAAUGCAAGGAGUGAAGAGAGCUUUUUAUAUCUUACACUGACCACAACACACAGUUCAGAAAACUUAAAUAACCCUAACUAAAAUUUGAAAGGUGCUUCAAAGCAUAGAAAGUACCUUGACAUGUAUUUUCUCAUUGGAUUCUUAUAAACCUAUAAAACGGUGCUUACUCCAUUUCAGAAAUGAGAAAAUGGCGACCCAGAAAAUAAAGCAGCAUGCACAAGACUACAUGCUACACAGGGGACUGAUCUGACACCAAAACUUGACUGCAGAUUGUCUGCUUUCAACUCUCACCAGCAAAACAGACAAAAGUGCUUUGGACAUGCAAGUGUUUAUUAUGUUGCAUUUUGGAACUCCAGACCUAAAACCAAACAUAGACAAAUAUAAAACAAAACAAAAAAACACUAAAGAUCAAACCCAUUCUCAAACCCAAACACCCAGAAAAUAAAAGGAAAUUAUUAUUAUUUUUUUCUCAGGGGAAGCAAGUGGUUGAUUUCAUGUGGGAUUAACUCUCAACUCUGAUGAACCUCAUGGUCUCCUGGAUCUUCCCAAACCAAGGCUCUGGGACAGCAAUUAAUCAGAUGGAAAGUCUGGGGAUUUAUCUCUCCACCAUCACUGCUUUCUGCUGAAUGCUGACUUAAAGAUGUGAAUCCACUCAAUUAUCUCACAGUUAGGAAGAAGCGAAUCUAUAGUUCAACGACACAGAGAUGAGAGCCCAGGACAAUCCCUAAGAGUCUGACUGACAAUUAAUUAGAUAGAUAGCAUCUUAUACUUGGGAAAGACCUUAGAGGUCUCAUCCAAUCUCCCUCCUGCUAUAAGAAUCCUUCCCUAGCAAGCCUGACAAAUCACCACCUGGUGUUGGCUCCUGAGAUGGGAAUUUUCAUUGUCUCGAGGUACCCGUUCCACUGCUGUGAGAUGUGCUCUUGUUGUUAGAAUGGAUUGCCUUCUUGGGAUCAAAUUAUUUCCCCUUUUAAGCCGUCAGCCCACUUUUUUGGCCUGAAAGAUUAUGGUUAUUUGUGCAUUCACAUGCUAUUCUUUGAAUAUUUGAAGUCAGCUCUCUUGACUUCCUUAAACUAUCUCUUCUCUAUUCAAAAUAUACCCAGCUUCUCCAACUUUUUCUAAAUUCAUUGAUUUUUAAGACUUUCUACAAAUAGUUCCAUUUUUGUACAUUUUUUUUUUGGAGAAAUGUUCAUAGCUGAAUAGGGUCUAUUUUUCCUACUUAAUCUGACCCAUGUACUUUCAAUACCUUUACUGGUCAUUAGCUCUAUACCAGUAAGGCCAAAUAUAUGGUGGUGGGUGAUAGUAUCAGCUCCCUCAACUCUGCAACCCACUGGAGCUUACCAAAUGAGAACUGGUUUUCUUCAUGCAAUUUACCUCAAAAGCCACACCAUCAGCAAGAGGACCAGAACUAAUUGUCAAAGUGCAAGCCACAACGAACACACAAUUGUCACUUAAAACCAGUUUUUGCUUCAGUAAGCUUUUUUUUUCUAUCUAGUAUUUUAUCUCUUAAAAUAAAGAGAAAAAACAGGUAAGAAACUAGUUUACCAAUAACUUUGACAAAUAGCCCCUGAGGUAGAGGGAGUGACAUUUGGAAAGUUGGUAAAAGCCACCAGAGUCAAAGCAACCUAAACAAAAAAAAAAAAGAAAAAAAAAAAAAAACUUGUGGCUAUGCUACACUCAACCAGGCCACACCUGUUUUCAGAAACCACUGAGUGUUCUGCAGAUACGCAGAGAUGCCAGGUCUGACAGUCUCUAAGGCAACCAGAUACCGAUCAUUGUCACACAGUAAGAAAUAGGAAGAGACACUGGUAACAAACAUUAAGCCUGGUUUUCUCAUCUGCUCAACAGUGUAACGGUAGGUGGAGUCAGCUCUGCCUUGAGACUCUUCACUUGUCCAGUCUCAAACUCUAAACACCUACUGGAGUGCAGGGCAUCCUGCAGCUGGAUAAGUAACUGAAGAUCUGAAGCCCACCUCUUAAGCGUAAUCCCGCAAUCGAAUGUGGACUUUGAAAUGGGCUUUUGAGGAGAAAAGGACAAGCUGCAGUUUCCCCCGUCUUCUAAUUUCCUCAUCUGCGAAAUAAAACAGAGUGUUUAUAUGUCCAGAGAGUGGUGAGCCAGUGAACUGGGAUGACACAAAGAGAUAACUUAUCUAAUUUGGUUCCCAAACGGGUGGGUUGGAUUUUAGUUAAUAAGUCACCAUCAUAGGAAAAUAUAAGCAGGUCCCUGCUUUCUGAGCAUUUAUGUCUAUUGAAGAUGUACAGUAUCAUGCUUUCCCUUUCUGAGACAUUUCCAAUCUGUAAUAUGUCAAUAAGAAUAAAGCAAAUGGGCAUUUUGUAAGAAGUUGGCAGAGGUGCAGAAUGCAUUUAGGAAUUGGAAUGAGUGCUUGUCUACUGCUUUUCAAAUCAUUGCAUUGGGAUUACUUAUGCCUGUGUUUUUCUUGCUCCCUAGACUGAGCUCCUUGACAUCAGGGGCUCAUUUUUGUUUAUUGGUGUCGUUCCCACUCUUCCU